AUUAAAUAUCUUUUGAAUGAGUUAUCCACAUUGCAAUGUUUUGAAAUGGGGCUUUUAUUUUGAAGGGUUGUCAUUACCAUACGAAAGUCACGUAAUUGUUUGUGCUGCUGGCAGGUUGGAACAGCGGGCUUGUUUGAAAUGGAAAAGCGUCCGGGUAGCUUUUGAUAGAGAAGAACACGAAGACGAAGCAGCUGCUUUAUAAGUGGGAUGCGCUGUUGAGCGCAACAUCCCGAGGGGUUCGUGCUAAUUGUACGGACAUUGUGACAGCUGGUUAAAUUGCACGCCUUGAGAAGGCAAUAACAAGAUGUAUGUCUGGAGAAGUGCUUUGUUGUCAUAACGAGAGCUCCAAAUAAAGACUCUUCACACCUACCACCCUUCUCUUCAGACCACUCAGACCCACACCUACCACCCUUCUCUUCAGACCACUCAGACCCACACCUACCACCCUUCUCUUCAGACCACUCAGACCCACACCUACCACCCUUCUCUUCAGACCAUUCAGAUCCACACCUACCACCCUUCUCUUCAGACCACUCAGACCCACACCCACCACCCUUCUCUUCAGACCACUCUGACCCACACCUACCACCCUUCUCUUCAGACCACUCAGACCCACACCCACCACCCUUCUCUUCAGACCACUCAGACCCACGCCUACCACCCUUCUCUUCAGACCACUCAGACCCACACCCACCACCCUUCUCUUCAGACCACUCAGACCCACACCUACCACCCUUCUCUUCAGACCUACGGCUGACAUCUUUAGUCUCUCUAUCUCUCUCUCUUUCUUUCUAUCCAUCCUCUUGAUACAGAUCUCUUGAUCCAUCCUCUGGCUGCAUUUUAAGUAAGUGGAGACUUUUUCUCUUUUAAUUCAGCUUUCUUCCCAUUUCUUGUGUUUUCAAAAACAAACCAGGUUGUAGUUUUAAAAUGCAAACCAACUGGAGGAGAUUAUUCAAAAAUGGUAUCUUAAAAUAAGUAACAAAAUCCCACUGGCCCAGGUAUUGUAUCAUCUGUAACCAAAUCCCACUGGCCCAGGUACUGUUUCAUCUGUAACCAAAUCCCACUGGCCCGGGUAUUGUUUCAUCUGUAACCAAAUCCCACUGGCCCAGGUAUUGUAUCAUCUGUAACCAAAUCCCACUGGCCCAGGUACUGUUUCAUCUGUAACCAAAUCCCACUGGCCCGGGUAUUGUUUCAUCUGUAACCAAAUCCCACUGGCCCGGUAGUCAUCUGUAACCAAAUCCCACUGGCCCAGGUACUGUUUCAUCUGUAACCAAAUCCCACUGGCCCGGGUAUUGUUUCAUCUGUAACCAAAUCCCACUGGCCCGGGUACUGUUUUAUCUGUAACCAAAUCCCACUGGCCCAGGUACUGUUUCAUCUGUAACCAAAUCCCACUGGCCCAGGUACUGUUUCAUCUGUCAACUAAUGACACUCAUUGCACUGUGGUCCUGAGACUAUGGCAGGUAGCCUACAUCUAGGUUACAAUAGUAGUCAACAGUUAGUAUGACACAUUACGUUACAGUGUGGCAGGUUAAAGCCUCAGGCUUAGUUUUAUUACUAGACGAGGUCCAUUAUCAGAUCUGACCCAUAUGAUUCAGUCAUUGAAACCCAUGUCACCUUCAAACACAUACACAGCACUUCUUUAGUGGGUUUGAGAAGGUUCAGGGCUUGAUGUUUAAUGUGAGCUCAACGUUAGCUGCUUAGUUGGCCAAACUCUCUUUAUUAAUUGCUAUUGUUAGUAUAGUUUUUAUCUCACAGUCUCUAGUUCUCCUUCUCAAUUCAAGCCCAUUGCCAGAGUGGACCUCCCUGGUGCAUUCCAUCAGUCAAAGUUGUGUAUAGGGCUAUUCUUUCUGACACUUUUGUAUCCACCUUUCAUGCAGAAUGUCUCCUGGCUCCAGCCGUAAGCUGUGUCCUAGUUGUAACACAUCAAUAGGAGUAGCAUCAAAGAAGUGCACGUUCUGUGGUGCAACAAUACAGCUAAAGGUCAAGUUAGAGGCCCAAAAAAGGAAGGCUACAGAUGAAUGGGAAAAUAAGACAAUGAAACAUGGAAGGUAUGCAACCUUGGUUAAUGCAGCAAACAAGCUGGUAAGCUUUAUUAUGUUUUCCUCUAAAAAGAUUUCUGCAUUUCUAGCUUAGGGAUAUGAUACUGUAACGCCCUGGCCAUAGAGAGGGUUUUUUGUUCUUUAUUUUGGUUAGGCCAGGGUGUUACAUUGGGUGGGCGUUCUAUGUUCCUUUUUCUAUGUUUUGGUAUUUCUUUGGUGUUACAUUGGGUGGGCGUUCUAUGUUCCUUUUUCUAUGUUUUGGUAUUUCUUUGUUUUGGGCCAUGUGUGUGGCUCCCAAUCAGGCACAGGUGGUGCUCAUUGCUGCUGAUUGGGAGUCACACAUAAGGAGCAUGUUUUUCCUUUGGGUUUUGUGGGUAAUUGUUUCUUGUUUAGUGUGGUUGCACCUGACAGGACUGUUGGCUGUCAGUUUCCUUGUUUUUGUAUAGUGUUCUUUCCAAUUAAAUUGAAGGAUGAAUACUAACUCUGCUGCAUUUUGGUCCUUUCCUGAAGACAGCCCUUACAGAUACCCUCUAUGCACUUAUUUGUUGUUGUCUCAUUGUGUCAUUUAAGAGUGUAAAUCUAAAUGUCAUUAUUUGACUGAUAUUUGUUGUGUUUCUGGAAGUUAUUUUGUCAUUAAUGAUUCCAGGUACAUAGGUUCCACAAGGUAGGAGUGUACCCCCUGCUACACUUUGUCGUCGACUGCACUGUGUCCUCACAGUGGUAUGACGAGUCAGACCUCAAUGGCAACAAUCCAAAGGUUGUAUGAGGCAAUUGUGAAAGGUAUUUGGACAGAAAUAUGUAUGUUUGUCUACCUUAAUAAGUCUCUAUCCCUCAACCACCACAUCCGUCAGACUGUAAAAAACGAAUUAUUCCACUUAGACAAAUUCGCCAAAGUCAGCCCCUCCCUCUCCUGUACUGCGGGCCGAACCUCUCAUCCAUGUUUUCUUCUUCUCCCGAACUCACUACUCCCCAGCACUAACAGACUCCCUCGAUAAGCUCCAAAUGGUUCAAAACUCAGCAGCCCAUCUUCUAACCCACACUAAAUCAUCCUGGCAGCAUAUCACCCCCAUCCUCUGUGAACUCCACUGGCUCCCUGUCUCCCACCGCAUGAAUUACAAGAUCCUCCUGGCCGAAAAAAGCUCUCCCCCACCUUGCUACCCCUUACCUCUCUGACCUUCUCUCCUACCAGACCUCAUGCUCUUUCCGCUCAACCACAGUUGGCCAACUUGUCAUUGGGGCGGCAGCGUAGCCUAGUGGUUAGAGCGUUGGACUAGUAACCGAAAGGUUGCAAGAUCAAAUCCCUGAGCUGAACAAGGUACAAAUCUGUUGUUCUGCCACUGUUCCUAGGCCAUCAUUGAAGAUAAGAAUUUGUUCUUAACUGACUUGCCUAGUUAAAUAAAGGUAAAAUAAAUAAAAAAUACCCAGGUCCAAGCUCCAGAGUUUCAGUGACAGGGCCUUGUCCAGGGUUGCUCCUAGGCUCUGGAACUCCCUUCCUCCAGCCAUCUGUGACUCUAAGUCCAUCAUCUUUCAGUCCUGCCUAAAAACCCACCUCUUCACCAUGGCCUACCACUGUUUCACACAUAUGCGCAACACCUGCUAUCUCACUCACACAUCACACCAUUUCCUUGGGCCCUUCUUACCUCUGUUUAUACCUGGUUCUAACAUGCAUUAUAUGUCCUGAUCUUGUCCACAGUCUGAUUAUUCCCACAUUUUCAGACAGGUGUAGACGAUUAAAAGAAGCAUUUUGAUCAGAUCUUUCUGACCACGUCUGGAGUUGACAGUAAAACCAUUUAAAUCAUCCUGCCUUCUAAAAUCAUUGACAGGUGGCACCAUUGACUUAUGGAAUAUAUAUGUCUUAAAAUAAAUAAAAAAGUAUUAUUUUGAAAGAAUAUCUGUCAAAGAAUUAGCAUACAAGGCGGGACCAGUAUAUCUGUUCACAAUGCGGACACAGUGGACUGAUAAGACCAUCAGAAUGUGGACAAGAUCAGGACAAAGGACGCAUGUUUGCACCAAAAAAUUUUGUUUAAUGUUUUUCUUCCUUUUCUUUAGUCUGCUGUUGUUUAGUUAGAUUAUUGAUUGUUUGUUAGUUUCUACAAUUGUAAAGCUAUGUAUGUUUCAUGUAUAAUUAUUGUUAUUAUUAAAGUAGAGGAGUUAGUUCAGGCAAGCAACAUUUCAACACAUUCUUUUCACAUAUCCUGUGUAGAAGUUUAUUUAUAAAAUGGGUGGUUCCAGCCCUGAAUGCUGAUUGUCUGAAUGCCUUGGUAUAUCAGACCGUAUGACAAAACAUUUAUUUUUACUGCUCUAAUUACAUUGGUAGCCAGUUUAUAAUAGCAAUAAGGCACCUCAGGGGUUUGUGGUAUAUGGCCAAUAUAUCACAGUUAAGGGCUGUAUCCAGGCACUCCGCAUUGCGUCAUGCAUAAGAACAGCCCUUAGCCGUGGUAUAUUGCCAUAUACCACACCUCGGGCCUUAUUGCUUAAAUAUACCGGAAUUUCUGGACUAUUAAGCGCACCUGAAUAUAAGCCGCACCCACUGAAUUAAAAUGUUUUUUUUAUUUUGAACAUAAAUAAGCCGCACAUGUCUAUAAGCCGCAGGUGCCUACCGGUACAUUGAAACAAAUGAACUUUACACAGGCUUUAACGAAAAACGGCUUGUAACAAAAAUAAAUAGGCUUUAACGAAACACGGCCUGUAACAAAAAUAAAUAGGCUUUAACAAAACACGGCUUGUAAAAAAAUAAAAAAAAUAGCAGUAAGCUUUAGUUGUCUUUUUGCCCUGAGUCAAUUCCUCACGCUGCUGUUUCCAACGUCUUAUCAUCGACUCAUUAAUACCAAGCUCCCGUGCAGCAGCUCUAUUUCCUUUUCCAACAGCCAGAUCAAUCGCCUUCAACUUGAAAGCUGCAUCAUAUGCAUUUCUCCGUGUCUUUGCCAUGAUGAGGGUGACGAAAUGACUACCGUAAUCAGAAUGAUGGGAAGUUUGAGAGCGCUCGAUUUAAUCUAAACAGUAAACAAAAAAGUUGUUUGACCUUAACCCGUUCGGCAAUUUCAUUGGUCUAAUGAAAGCUUCAUGCCGCCAAAAAACUGAGCACGUCACAGAAUGUGUUUUUUUGGAGAGAAAAAAAUUGAAAGUGGGAAAAAUCCAUAUAUUAGCCACUUCAUUGUUUAAGCCGCGAGGUUCAAAGCCUGGGAAAAAAAGUUGCGGCUUAUAGUCCGGAAUUUACGGUACAUGCUCACCUCUGCCAAUUGGAAACUGUUGCCCACUUGUCUGUCCCAUUUCCUUAAUAUGUUCUAUUUCACAGUGGCAAUCAACACCCAUACCCCCACACUACAACCCUCCAACCCUCCUCAACCAGGUUGAACUCCCAAUAUCCCCCACCACUCAGGAGCCCAGCUACACCCCCAUCCUCAACCAGGUUGAACCCCCGAUAUCCCCCACCACUCAGGAGACCAGCUACACCCCCAUCCUCAACCAGGUUGAACCCCCAAUAUCCCCCACCACUCAGGAGACCAGCUACACCCACACCAAACCAAAGAAGACGGAGAGAAAGUCCUGUCACCCUCAAAAAACCCUCCAACUCACUGAGCAUGACAGUCAACCCCAUCCAAUCCUAUCCAACCCCAUCCAACCCCAUCCUACCCCAUCCAACCCCAUCCUACCUACCAACCCCAUCCAAUCCUAUCCAACCCCAUCCAACCCCAUCCUACCCCAUCCAACCCCAUCCUACCUACCAACCCCAUCCAACCCCAUCCCAUCCUACCCCAUCCAACCCCAUCAUACCUACCAACCCCAUCCUACCCCACCCCAUCCCAUCCUACCCUAUCCUACCCCAUCCAACCCCAUCCAACCCCAUCCUAAUCCUACCCACACC
rnacentral:lncRNA from 1 species